UGCUAUUUCGGCGCAAAUUUUGGAAAACAAAAAAACUAUAACUACUAACCAGCAAAAGUUUGAUGAGCGCCUUCAAAAUUUGGAGAAGGCUCGUCACAAAAAUGCAAUCGAUAAUACAACGCUAAUGGCACAAAACCAGACCAUUCGCGAAUGUAAAGUGCGAACUUGAAGACGAGAUGCAAAUAGAGAUCGCUGCAACGUUGCCCUUGGCAGGUAUUGUCGCAGCAAAUAAUGUCGAAGAAAAGCUGGAAAAACAUGAAUACUUCGAAUCAAUGAAAAUCUACUUGUUCCAAAUGAAAUGAAGCAACGGAACGGUGGAUGACGUUUACCGAAGGGUCAUGACCAGGCAUGAGCAGAAAACGAGCACACGCUCAAAGAGCGUAAUC